rnacentral:lncRNA from 1 species
CAUCCUAGGCGACUGUGGAAACAGCAACAUAGAAACUGCCAAAGGGACACCACCACUGGUAAGUAAGGGAUAAAAAUUUCAAGCCCAAAUAGUAAGGCUGCAAAGCUCAUACUCUCAACUGUAAUACCAUGUUCCCUAUCAAUUAACCAGUCCCUACUCUAUAUCAAAGACAAAAGUAAUUACAUCUCUUCUUAUUUAAUCCACAUAAUAACCCAGGGAAGUAGCUCUUUUCAUCUUGUUAACUGGUCACUAAAAAUCCAAAAGAUAAAGCAACUUGCCUAGAAUCAUACAGCUAAGAAGUAUAGGCUCCAACUAACUUCAAAUUUCAUGUUCUUUCUGUAGUUUUACAGCCUCCCAAAGAGUGGUCUCCCAAUCUCUGUUCAUGAAUUAUAGAAUAAUGAAGUCUUAGAUGGGAAAUAACCUGAAAAACGUCCUCAUCUGUCCACUUCUCCUACCCAUGUAAUAACGAGUGGAUUAUUCUGGACAGUAGUUUUCAUACUACCUUCUCUGGAUCUCUUUCCUUCUAG